GAUGAACGCUGGCGGCGUGCCUAAUACAUGCAAGUCGAGCGGUAAGGCCCUUCGGGGUACACGAGCGGCGGACGGCUGAGUAACACGUAGGAACGUACCCCAAACUGAGGGAUAAGCACCAGAAAUGGUGUCUAAUACCGCAUGUGAUCUUCGGAUUAAAGCUCCGGCGGUUUGGGAACGGCCUGCGCAUGAUUAGCUUGUUGGUGAGGUAAUAGCUCACCAAGGCGACGAUCAUUAGCUGGUCUGAGAGGAUGACCAGCCAGACUGGAACUGAGAACGGUCCAGACUCCUACGGGAGGCAGCAGUAGGGAAUUUUCCACAAUGGGCGAAAGCCUGAUGGAGCAACGCCGCGUGCAGGAUGAAUGUCUUCGGAUUGUAAACUGCUUUUAUAUGUGACGAUAAUGACGGUAGCAUAUGAAUAAGGAAUCGGCUAACUCCGUGCCAGCAGCCGCGGUAAGCUCGUCUCUA
rnacentral:rRNA from 1 species